rnacentral:rRNA from 1 species
GACUACUGGGGUAUCUAAUCCCGUUCGCUCCCCUAGCUUUCGCACCUCAGCGUCAGGAUAUGGCCAGGAAGCCGCCUUCGCCACGGGUGUUCCUCCAGAUAUCUACGCAUUUCACCGCUACACCUGGAAUUCCACUUCCCUCUCCAAACCUCAAGGCUUCCAGUUUUGCAGGCAGCUCCGAGGUUAAGCCUCGGGAUUUCACCCACAACUUAAAAGCCCGCCUACGCGCGCUUUACGCCCAGUGAAUUCGGACAACGCUCGCCCCCUACGUAUUACCGCGGCUGCUGGCACGUAGUUAGCCGGGGCUUAUUCGUGGGGUACCGUCACUUCCUUCGUCCCCCACAAAAGACCUUUACAUCCCGAAAGACUUCAUCAGUCACGCGGCGUCGCUGCGUCAGGCUUUCGCCCAUUGCGCAAGAUUCCUCACUGCAGCCCCCCGUAGG